UAGUAAAGGGCCUGGCGCAGCCUCUUUGAUGCAGCCAUGCCGCGUGUGGGUGAAGAAGGCGCCCUCUUCGGGUUGUACAAGCACUUUCAGCGAGGAGGAAGGGUUACGGGGUUAAUAAGCCCUGUUGACAUUGACGGAAAACGUUACUCGCAGAAGAAGCACCGGCUAACUCCGUGUGUCCAGCAGCCGCGGUAAUACGGAGAAGGUGCAAGCGCUUGCGUUAAUCGGAAUUACUGGGCGUAAAGCGCACGCAGGCGGUUUGUUAAGUCAGAUGUUUAGAAAUCCCCGGGCUUAACCUGGGAACUGCAUUUGAAACUGGCAAGCUAGAGUCUUGUAGAGGGGGGUAGAAUAUUCCAGACGUGUAGCGGUGAAAUGCGAUUUAGAGAUCUGGAGGAAUACCGGUGGCGAAGGCGGCCCCCUGGACCAAAAGACUGACGCUCAGGUGCGAAAGCGUGGGGAGCAAACAGGAUUAGAUACCCUGGUAGUCCACGCCUAAACGAUGUCGACUUGGAGGUUGUGCCCUUGAGGCGUGGCUUCCGGAGCUAACGCGUUAAGUCCACCCGCCUGGGAAGUACGGCCGCAAGGUUAAAACUCAAAUGAAUUGACGGGGGCCCGCACAAGCGGUGGAGCAUGUGGUUUAAUUCGAUGCAACGCGAAGAACCUUACCUACUCUUGACAUCCAGAGAAUUCGCUAGAGAUAUUGUGCCUUCGGGAACUAGGAAGGCUGAGACAGGUGCUGCAUGGCUGUCGUCAGCUCGUGUUGUGAAAUGUUGGGUUAAGUCCCGCAACGAGCGCAACCCUUAUCCUUUGUUGCCAGCGCCAUGCUGGAACUCAAAGGAAACUGGCCCGGUAAUAAACCGAAGGAAGGUGGGCGAAUAACUUCAAGUCAUCAUGGCCCUUACAAAUAGGACUACCCACUUGCUACAUUGACUUUAUACAACAAAUCCCCAAACCCCAUUCCCGAACCAACGAACCCUAAAGUACUCAAUCCGAAUCGAUCUGCACUCCACUCCUUGAAUCGAAAUCCCUAGUAAUCGAAUCAAAUGCUGGAAUCCUCCGGGCCUUACCCCCCCCCCUCAGUACCCCUCCUGCCCCCUGGGGGAAUUGGUGCCAAAAAAAAUAGUACUAACCUUCGGAGGCAGGCCUUCACUAGCCUGGUUACUUUUGACA
rnacentral:rRNA from 1 species